rnacentral:rRNA from 1 species
CAGUCGCCACGGGAAUACGUAGGUGGCAAGCGUUGUCCGGAAUUAUUGGGCGUAAAGGGCUCGCAGGCGGUUUCUUAAGUCUGAUGUGAAAGCCCCCGGCUCAACCGGGGAGGGUCAUUGGAAACUGGGAAACUUGAGUGCAGAAGAGGAGAGUGGAAUUCCACGUGUAGCGGUGAAAUGCGUAGAGAUGUGGAGGAACACCAGUGGCGAAGGCGACUCUCUGGUCUGUAACUGACGCUGAGGAGCGAAAGCGUGGGGAGCGAACAGGAUUAGAUACCCGAGUAGUCCAUGUCUCUUAUAU